UACGAGGGGGGCAAGCGUUGUUCGGAAUUAUUGGGCGUAAAGGGCGCGUAGGCGGUGCGGUAAGUCACCUGUGAAACCUCUGGGCUUAACCUCGAAACUGCAUUCCAUACUGCGGUGCUUGAGGACUGGAGAGGAGACUGGAAUUUACGGUGUAGCAGUGAAAUGCGUAGAUAUCGUAAGGAAGACCAGUGGCGAAGGCGGGUCUCUGGACAGUUCCUGACACUGAGACACGAAGGCCAGGGGAGCAAACGGG
rnacentral:rRNA from 1 species